GGCUCAGUAUGCAGCUGAAUUUAAUACAAAAAAAGCAAGGGCAGCAAGGAGAAGAAAGCUUCUAGGUGAAGAAGAAGAACUAGAAGAUGACCCUGAUUACUCUGCUGGACACUUUUGAUAAUAGAAUAAAAGGAGCUUGUGCAGUAGGUGGUGGUUCCACCUGUCAUCACUUCACCAAGGAAUUCGGAGGUAGCUGACACAGACUGCACAUUGUAUGAACAAGAGUCAAUUUUGCAGCUACCACUAAUUGUUCCAGCUGACCAUAUGGAUCUCGUGGGCCCCGAAGUCGUCUUACCUUCUCAAUCGUCUGCUUCGGGGCAUGAGAGUGUGCCUAAACGUCGGAGAUUAAGCAUGGAAACAGAUUAGACACGUAAUUUGUCUACUCCAGAGCUCAAAGGCUGAUGCUAUUGUAUCAAUUGGACAUACUGAAACGAAAGCAGCAGAAAUUGAUGCGUGAUGAAGAUAAACAAUAAAACAAAUUGUGUAGUGUCUUAUUUACAUACCGAAUUUUAUUAAUAAAAACAUCUUUUUAA